AUUCCAGCUCCAAUAGCGUAUAUUAAAGUUGUUGCAGUUAAAAAGCUCGUAGUCGGAACUUUGGCCGGCGGUGAGCGUCCAAGGGCCUUCGGCCUUUGCGCAUGCGAUCCGCUAGCCAUGUACUUCGGAGGAACGCGUGUGCUUUUCACUAAGUGCGCGUGGGAUUCCGAUAGUUUACUUUGAGAAAAAUAGAGUGUUCAAAGCAGGCGUUUUGCCUUGAAUACAUUAGCAUGGGAUAAUGAAAUAGGACAUUGGUUCUAUUUUGAUGGUUUACGGACCGAUGUAAUGAUUAAUAGGGACAGUUGGGGGUAUUCGUAUUCCAUUGUCAGAGGUGAAAUUCUUGGAUUUAUGGAAGACGAACCACUGCGAAAGCAUUUACCAAGGAUGUUUUCAUUG
rnacentral:rRNA from 1 species